rnacentral:lncRNA from 1 species
UUUUUUUUUUUUUUUUUUUCAGAAAUAGCACAUCGGCAUUGAAGUGUCAAAGUAAACAGGAAAAGCAAAUUUCAUUUUGACUGUGACAAUAAAAAAAGAUGAAUAAAUAAGUAAGUGCAGCUUUUUUCUACAAAGUGAAAAAAAAAAAAAAACAGCCACUGCAUGUGUGAGUAAAAAUCUGCUUUUUGUUGUUGCGAAAUAAGAAAAUGGUGAAACUCAAGGUAAAAAAAAUCAUAUUUGAAAACAGAUUGCCAGAAAGAGGGAAAAUAAAGUUGCAUGCUCACCUUUGAAAGGCACUAGAAAACAAAAAUGUUGAGUGCUUUGAGUGCUUACAGAAUUGUAAGACACCAAAAAAAUUAAAUUAACAGCAAAGUAGACCAACAAAGUGGUUUGAGGAGUCAGGUAUAGUAAAUAUAUUUACUGGAUAUAGACAAUUGUUAAUCAGCUGAAGGACUUUAGCCAUAAUUAUAAUGUAGAACUGUAACUGUGGCCUUGUCCCCACUAGUCAGAAUCACCAAGGCAGUACCCCAACUUCGUUAAUACAUUCAUGGACAAAUUACUAUCUACAAUUGCUUUUCUCUUGCACGGAGAUUCAACGAUUGAAACAUUACUGAAUCAUUUCCCAUGAAACAUCUCCUAUUACCUGACUGGCAUUGGCUAUGGUUAGGGUGGUCUAAUUCCACAUUAAUGAUCACACACCUCUACAGAUUACCACGUCCUGGUCACCUUUCUAUUCUCUGCAAUCUUUCCAUGAUUCCACUUGUGAUGACUGAACCCUUAUUUUUAUUCUUUUAUAAUCUUUUGUUUAAAUAAGUUCAAUGAAGAUCAGGUUUCUAUUUUUAGAGCACAUUCAACAUUAUUAUACUUGCUCAUCAUGUGAAUUAAACAUGUUCAAAUACAUAUCUGGAAGGCAUGCCAUUUAUCUAGCCCAUCCCUUUGAGGAACCAUAAUGCUUACAGUUAGAGUUUACCUGGGUCAGAUAUGCAUCCUAUAAAAACAUUUCCCAAAGUAUAUAUACAAAAGCACUUAUUCCUGGAAGCUUUUAGGAAAAACACUUUUGGUUUAUUAAGUAUGGGUGCUUCUACAUAUUUACUUCUAUUUUAACAUUCUCCAUACCUAUUAAAUGCUCUGAAACAUCAUUCACUAACACUAUAAAUAAAUUAUUUUUACUAUAUAUUAACCACACCUAAUUCAUUUAUUUCAUUAUCAGGGUUCUUUCAAUUUACUUUCCUGGGACAUUUCUGUUCAUAUUCCAUUACAUAUUGCUACUUAGACUUCUCUGUCUCUUGUCUGUAAUUUUACAAAAUUCAGACUUUAAACACUAAGUUUCAGUUACAGUUUCUAUGGCUUUUGCAACCUCUCUUAAUUAAUCAGUGCAAAGUUUCACUCUACCCCUUCCAUAUGCUGUAAAAUGCUGGAGAGCAGAUAUUAAUUAAUUGAAAAUGUUGUUCUUCUGUUUUUAAAGACAGAAUUUUGAUCUGCUCAUUUCUAAAUAUUCUGAGUUUGUCUGCAUCACUGCAGCAAUUGAAAGGCAUUUUGUAACCUGCUUCUUUGGGGAGAAAGAUUAACUUUGAAAUUGAAGCCAAAAACAGCUCCAUAGAUAAUAGAAACACCAUGAUAAUUUCUUUGCUACAUUAUAAAUCAUCUCCUUUCCUUACCAAUAGAAAAAAUCACAACUUUUCUUCCUUCCUUCCUUCCUUCCUUCCUUCCUUCCUUCCUUCCUUCCUUCCUUCCUUCCUUCCUUCCUUCCUUCCUUCCUUCCUCUCUUUAACCUCCUUCACCCUCCAUUGUUUCAGCUAUGCACCACCAUAUAUAAACUGCUCAUACUUGUCACUACAUACUUCAGCAUCACUGAAGUGAACAUCUAUUCCUUCAGAGUCACUCCCUAUGAAAAAAAAGAUAAAAACCAUAUUAAACUGCAUAUAUCUAAUCAUCUCAAAUCCUAGGUCCAUGUUUUGGGUAGAGAGAACAUAAAAUUCACAAUAUGCUUCAAUGAAUCAUCAUUUUAGGCAGCAUAUAACUAAGUGUAUCUUUUGUUUAUGCUAAACCUGAUAAGAAAGUAAUGUUUUAGGGAAAAAGUAGAAAAGAUAACUUGUUUAUGUUUAGAAAAUAUUCCAUAAUCCAAGACAAAUCCUAGGACAACCUAGUGUGAAAUAAGUAUACCUGGUUGGGUGGUCACUCUAAUCCCAGCUGGCCAAUCAGUCAGCCAGCACACGAACACAAAGGAAAUAGAAGUAGCAGGCAUACAAUUCAUAUCAAAGGCAAAGCAGACUAAAUGUAUCCCUUCCAACUUUAAAAAAAAAAAAUCAUCCUCUUCCUAGCUCCCAGUACUUUCCUCUUUCAUGACAUUUUCUGCUUGUGAGGGAGUCUCAGAUAUUAAAUGUAAAACUAAUUAUAUUCCUGGAUAAAUGCUUUGGAUGGGGAGACAUAUAGUCACUCUUGAAACCUACUGGGAAGACUCCUGAUAGAUUUCAUGCCAAUAGAUGAGGUUACUAAGGCUCACAGCAGAAAGUACACUUUUUUGAAGUUCUUGAUAACUGCAUUCCUCUUUAUAGGUCUACUGUUGAUCUGAUGAUAACUUUUAUACCUUCUACAGCAUUGAGUUAAUAGCAUAGAGAAGAUUCUCAAUGAAAUCAGAUUGAGUAAAUCAAACCAAAACCUACUCUCAGGACUAUUUGCUAGAGAACAUCACUCCAGAAUGUUUAACCAAGAUUUCACUAUCCUUAUUAUUGGAACACAACUCUCCUUUAUCUACAAUAGCAUGUCUAUGAGAGAGAAUAUAGAGCUCUUUUAUAAGGCUAUUUUCCCCUGGUUUUCUGAAAUUUUAUUACAUAAGCCUUUUUACAUAUUUUUCUGGCACUUGGGCUUAUGAGUGCUAAAAGUCAAGGUUCCUCACAUAAUGGUUCACUUUUUAACCUAUUAAUAUUUCCAGAGUCUUCCUAGCAAUAAAUAAUAUAAUUCAUUAUCAUCCUUUUAUUGACCAGUAUUCUAGGUAGCUUAUUUAUAAUAAUUAAUUCUUAAAAUAAAAAAAAUAAACUAACAUAAAACUGUAGUCUAUCAAAUAUCCUAGAAGACUAAAACUUGCUGAAUGCAUCGACUCUGAAAGCAAUCUAAAAAUGUCACAGAAUCAGCUUUUGCCUGAACUUUACUCAAGGGAAUCAUGUAUUUAUUUCUUUGCCUUGUAUAGAACUGAAUCAAGGCAGGAGCCAAUAAAGAAUCCUCAUUACCACUGUCAUUUUGAAAUCUCAUCUUCAGUUCUGAUGGGCCAUCAAUAUCAAGAGUCUUUCUCUCAAUCUUUCAAAGGCACACAGCCCCAAUGUUAUCUGCGAAUUCAUCAUCAGUUAUAUGCUGUUAUCUCAGUAAUUGAAGAAGAGUGUAGGAUUAGAAUCUCUACAACUAAAUGAGGAAGGACAAUAUUUCUUUCAUUUCUCACUCUUAACACCUAGGUCAUAAGCGCAGAUUGAUUUGAGUUCAUCCCAUUAUCCCUAGUACCACUUUAUCCCCUCAGUGUUCCACACGUAAGGUUGCUCUAGCUAAAACUCCAUAGAGGUUUUUGGGGUGAAGAAGCUGAGAAAUGACAUCAGUUAAAAACUACAGGUAGUUACUAUGUUUUGAAAGAAAUGGAGAUAUGAGUUUAUCUUUGAGCCACAUUAUUCCUUUGCUUUGAAAAGCAGUCUUGAUGAUCCCACAUCCUUUUCCUAUUCCACUUUCCAUGUUGUUUGUCUGCUCUGAGUCACUAAAUGGUGUCCUUUACAGACUGUUUUUUCUAAUGGCUGCUCUCUGGUUGGUUUUAGCUAUUGGAAGGCACUGUCAGGAAAAGAGAGGAGAAGAAAGAAAAUGUGGUAUUUCUUCUUCCUUUUCUUCUGGCCACAGCAUUUCAUCUUGCUGUCCAGAAAUAUUCUUCCUACUUGGUAGCCCCUCAUCCACUCUCAUUUAUCAGUACCCUCCCAUAACACUAUUUUAUUCCCUUAUCCAUUAAGAUCUGAGCAGAGGGAUUAGGUAUCAGUGCCCUAAAUUGCUUGUCGCUGGGUACCUCAGCAUUCCUUGUGUGUUUGUGUUCUCCUACCCCUGAGCUAAACUCCUAGGCUGUAGGGAUUUUGGUCCUGCUCAUUACUCUACCAGCCACAGAAGAGUGCUUGGCACUUAUAGGUUCUUAAGAGAUGCCAAUGUUAAAAGUUCAGUCUAGAAUAAGAUGAGAUUUUAGGAUGUUUACUUGGGUUUACUGAGUAUGAUAUAUAUAUAUGCUCAACAACUUUCAAAACUUAAAGACUGACAUACUCUGGAAAAGCAUAGACCUUGGCAUCACACCGUCCUGAAAUUAUUGCUGUCUGUCUUUCCAUUUUACCUUUCAGGUACUGUGGCCACUUCUUGGUGCUUCAUUCAGUGCCUUCAUCUGAUAAUACUCUCAUAAGUGACAUUGUUAGUAUUACAUGAGAAAGUUCUGAAAACACUCAGCACUGUCUCUGGCACAUUGAAACUUAAUCCUACUACUCUUGCUUCAAGAUGAAUGUAUUUUCAAAACCUGGCUAGCCUUCCUUUUUCCUACAGAGUAAUAGAGCUGUUAAAAAGAACGGACUCAGAAUGGCCACUCAAUCAAAAUACCAAACGAUGAAAAGGUCAAAGCAGUAUAGCUACCUUUAUAAUUCAUAGAUUAUUGAAUGCAUUAACAUUCCAAUCCCUCAUUCUUAAAGAAAAGAUUAUAAUAAGGACCCCAAAUGGCCACACAUCAAUCCUCUCCUAUGACAAUAGUUGUUCCUUUUCUGGGAAAUGUAGAAAAGUAACCUCAGCUGACACUGAACUUCAAUUUGGAUGCCAUACUGUGCUUCUGGUUUUGAUAACAAAUGGAUCCCCAGGAGGAGAGCAAUAGGAAAUACUCUAGAUGCUCACAAAAGAAAAAGGCUUUCAAAUGUGCUGUGGGUUAAUUUCAACCAAACUGUCAGGUCUAGAAAAUUAUGUAAUUGACAUCCCUGCUUAAGAAUAUUUUGAGCUUUCGAAAGGCUAGGCUGGGCUUUUUACACAGUCUUUAAACAAGCAAUCAAGCAUCUGCUUCCCAAAUUAAAGAGCCAAAAGACUAACUGAUGUGAGUUCAUGAUUACAAUGUCAAAUAUUUCUUUGUAAUUGUUGGACCAUUUUCAACUCAAUCAAUUUUAUUUUUAUUUUUCAUGAUAUUUCCAGGGAUAACAUAGACUCAUAAUCACAGUCUGUUAGAAUUAUAAAGGGCUUUUGGGACCUCUUAACCCAUCCCUCUCAUUUUAUAGAAGAGAAAACUGAGGACCACAGAGGGUAAGUGGCUAGUCUAAGGUCACAAAGUUAGUUAGCAGCUAAGCCAGCAUAACAAUGAAACCAACUUCAAUUUCAAAUAGACAGCUAUUAAAAAUAUUUCAUACAAAUUCCACUUUCUUCUAAAUUUCUCCUUAAGAAAGGGCUUAAUAACAUCUAUGAUGAAAGCACUAUAAAAUAAGUUGCUUGGAUCAUGUGAAGACAACUCUGAACAUCAUGAGAGAUAAAUACCUUAGUAUAAUAAAAGAAUCGUGCUCUGAAAUCUGCUAAGGACAUAACCAGCACUUCCUUUCCUUCCUUCCAGCAGCCACUGGGACCAAGAUUUUGCAAGAAGGUUAGGUCACGUAUCACAAGUCAAUUAAAAAAGCAACUAGUAAAAAAAAAAAAAAAAAAAAA